AUUGAACGCUGGCGGCAGGCUUAACACAUGCAAGUCGAGCGGAGAUGAGGUGCUUGCACCUUAUCUUAGCGGCGGACGGGUGAGUAAUGCUUAGGAAUCUGCCUAUUAGUGGGGGUCAACAUUCCGAAAGGAAUGCUAAUACCGCAUACGUCCUACGGGAGAAAGCAGGGGAUCUUCGGACCUCGCGCUAAUAGAUGAGCCAAAGUCGGAUUAGCUAGUUGGUGGGGUAAAGGCCUACCAAGGCGACGAUCUGUAGCGGGUCUGAGAGGAUGAUCCGCCACACUGGGACUGAGACACGGCCCAGAUUCCUACGGGAGGCAGCAGUGGGGAAUAUUGGACAAUGGGGGAAACCCUGAUCCAGCCAUGCCGCGUGUGUGAAGAAGGCCUUAUGGUUGUAAAGCACUUUAAGCGAGGAGGAGGCUACUGAGACUAAUACUCUUGGAUAGUGGACGUUACUCGCAGAAUAAGCACCGGCUAACUCUGUGCCAGCCGCCGCAGUAA
rnacentral:rRNA from 1 species